AGCAGCCGCGGUAAUUCCAGCUCCAAUAGCGUAUAUUAAAGUUGCUGCAGUUAAAAAGCUCGUAGUUGAAUUUCGGGAUCAAUAUGUUGGUCGUGCCUCGGUACGUACUAGCUUAUUGGUUUCUCCCUUCUGACGAACCAUGAUGUCAUUUAUUUGGUGUUAUGGGAAAUCAGGACUGUUACUUUGAAAAAAUUAGAGUGUUUAAAGCAGGCUCACGCUUGAAUACAUUAGCAUGGAAUAAUGAAAUAGGACGUUUGAUUCUAUUUUGUUGGUUUCUAGGAUCGACGUAAUGAUUAAUAGGGAUAGUUGGGGGCAUUAGUAUUCAAUUGUCAGAGGUGAAAUUCUUGGAUUUAUUGAAGACUAACUACUGCGAAAGCAUUUGCCAAGGAUGUUUUCAUUAAUCAAGAACGAAAGUUAGGGGAUCGAAGACGAUCAGAUACCGUCGUAGUCUUAACCAUAA
rnacentral:rRNA from 1 species